GUACAUUGGGCAAGAAAAUAAGAAUAGCCAUAGUGGCUCAGACCAAUAGUCCAUCUAGCCCAGUAUCCUGUCUUCUGACAGUGCCCAGGACCAG